rnacentral:tRNA from 1 species
GGACAUCUGGCCGAGUGGUCGAAGGCGCACGCCUGGAACGCGUGUAUAGGGCAACCUAUCUAGGGUUCAAAUCCCUAGGUGUCCGCCA